AGGGCACCACCAGGAGUGGAGCCUGCGGCUUAAUUUGACUCAACACGGGGAAACUUACCCGGCCUGGACACUGGAAGGAUUGACAGAUUGAGAGCUCUUUCUUGAUUCCGUGGGUGGUGGUGCAUGGCCGUUCUUAGUUGGUGGAGCGAUUUGUCUGGUUAAUUCCGAUAACGAACGAGACUCUAGCCUAUUAAAUAGGCUCCCGGCUUUUAAACGCCGGGAGGACUUCUUAGAGGGACAGGUGGCGGUUCAGCCGCACGAAAGAGAGCAAUAACAGGUCUGUGAUGCCCUUUGUUGUCCGGGGCCGCACGCGCGCUACACUGAAGAGAUCAGCGUGCUUUAUGUUCCUGCUCCGACCGGAGUGGGGAACCCAGUGAACCUUCUUCGUGAUUGGGAUAGAUGAUUGUAAUUAUUCUUCUUGAACGAGGAAUUCCCGGUAAAUGCGAGUCAUAAGCUCGCGUUGAUUACGUCCCUGCCCUUUGUACACACCGCCCGUCGCUACUACCGAUUGAACGAUUU
rnacentral:rRNA from 1 species